ACGCUCGACACCUACGGGAGGCAGCAGUGAGGAAUAUUGGUCAAUGGACGCAAGUCUGAACCAGCCAUGCCGCGUGCAGGAUGACGGCUCUAUGAGUUGUAAACUGCUUUUGUACGAGGGUAAACGCAGAUACGUGUAUCUGUCUGAAAGUAUCGUACGAAUAAGGAUCGGCUAACUCCGUGCUAGCAGCCGCGGUAAUCUGAGCGGGCUGGCAAGGC
rnacentral:rRNA from 1 species